rnacentral:piRNA from 1 species
UGCCACUUAGGAUAUGACAGCACAGCC